rnacentral:rRNA from 1 species
AUGGCGGUGGAGGAGGUGGCCGAGAGCUGCGGCAGCCACGCGGCCGCGGCGGCGGGCGGCGGAGGAGGCGGACGCGGAGGCGGAGGCGGGGGGUCCUCGUCCCCGCCGGGCGCCGCGGGGUCCGGGGCCGGGGCGGGGGCGCAGUCCAGGAAGCAGCAGCAGCAGCACCACCACAAGCUGGAGGUCUACACCGAGGUGCUGGCGCGCCUCCACGCCGCCGAGGAGCGCGCCCCCGGCUUCGACGACGACCUCUGGAGCCACUUCAACCGCCUCCCCGCGCGCUACGCGAUGGAUGUGAACGUGGAGAGGGCGGAGGACGUGCUCACGCACAAGCGCCUCCUCGAGCUGGCCAAGGAUCCGGCGCAGCGCCCGGCCUUCGCCGUGCGGGCCGUGCAGGUAUCUCCAAUUGUUGAUGGGAAUCAGACUGAUGCUGAUUCACACACUGCAGGGGAGGAAGUUGCUUCAAGGCUGUUGAAUAGGCAACAAAGCAUCCACCCUCCUCCUGCUUUCGGUUCAUCUACAAACCUUGAGGCCCUUGCGCUUGAAGCUAGUAAGUCGCAAGGCCAAGAUCAGGAUAGCACCUCAGAUAAUGUUCGAUCUCUCUACAGACCCAUGCAUGAAAUUACGUUCUCUACCAUUGACAAACCAAAGCUUCUCAGCGAGCUGACAUGUCUGCUUGGUGAGAUUGGUCUCAACAUUCAAGAAGCACAUGCAUUUUCGACAAAUGAUGGCUACUCACUUGACGUGUUUGUUGUUGUUGGUUGGCAUGCUGAGGAAACGGAGGAUUUAAUAGAAGAAUUAAAAAAAGAAAUCAGCAAGAUUGAGGAGACACAAGCAUGGUCUACAUCUCAUUCAUGGUCUUCUCCAGUUGAAAAUAUGCAGAUCGUGGAGAACUCAACAGCCGAUCAUGUUGCUAUACCUACAGAUGGUGCCAGUGAAUGGGAAAUUGAUAUAAAACUACUCAAUUUCGGGAAUAAAGUAGCAUCUGGGUCAUAUGGCGAUCUUUACCGGGGUACAUAUUGUAGUCAAGAUGUAGCUAUUAAAGUGCUCAAACCUGAGAGGGUAAAUGUGGACAUGCAGCGUGAAUUUGCCCAGGAAGUUUAUAUUAUGAGGAAGGUUCGUCACAAGAAUGUUGUGCAGUUCAUUGGUGCAUGCACUAAACCCCCAAGGUUAUGCAUAGUCACAGAAUUUAUGUCCGGUGGGAGUGUGUAUGAUUAUCUUCAUAAGCAUAAAGGUAUCUUCAAGCUCCCUGCCUUAGUUGGAGUUGCAAUGGAUGUGUCAAAAGGCAUGAGCUACUUACACCAAAAUAAUAUUAUUCAUCGGGAUCUGAAAACCGCCAAUCUUCUUAUGGAUGAAAACGGGAUGGUUAAGGUUGCUGAUUUUGGUGUUGCACGUGUUAAAGUUCAGUCUGGAGUAAUGACUGCAGAAACCGGGACAUACCGUUGGAUGGCCCCGGAGGUUAUAGAACACAAGCCCUACGACCACAAGGCUGAUGUUUUUAGUUUUGGAAUUUUGUUGUGGGAACUGCUCACUGGGAAGAUUCCUUACGAGUACCUGACACCAUUACAAGCAGCUGUAGGUGUGGUUCAGAAGGGAUUGCGGCCCACAAUACCAAAAAAUGCUCAUGCAAAGCUUGCGGAGCUCCUUCAGAAGUGCUGGCAGCAGGACCCUGCUGAAAGGCCAGAUUUCUCCGAGAUAUUAGAAGCUCUCAAGAAAAUAGCAGAGGAGGUUGGAGAUGAGCACGACGGAAAGCACAAGGACAAAAGCCUGGGGGGAUUCUUUUCGUCUCUGAGGGGGCGAGGACACUAA